rnacentral:rRNA from 1 species
UGGGGAAUAUUGCACAAUGGGCGCAAGCCUGAUGCAGCCAUGCCGCGUGUGUGAAGAAGGCCUUCGGGUUGUAAAGCACUUUCAGCGGGGAGGAAGGCGUUAAGGUUAAUAACCUCAUCGAUUGACGUUACCCGCAGAAGAAGCACCGGCUAACUCCGUGCCAGCAGCCGCGGUAAUACGGAGGGUGCAAGCGUUAAUCGGAAUUACUGGGCGUAAAGCGCACGCAGGCGGUCUGUCAAGUCGGAUGUGAAAUCCCCGGGCUCAACCUGGGAACUGCAUUCGAAACUGUGAGGCUAGAGUCUUGUAGAGGGGGGUAGAAUUCCAGGUGUAGCGGUGAAAUGCGUAGAGAUCUGGAGGAAUACCGGUGGCGAAGGCGGCCCCCUGGACGAAGACUGACGCUCAGGUGCGAAAGCGUGGGGAGCAAACAGG